GACAGAGGGUGCAAACGUUGUUCGGAAUUACUGGGCGUAAAGCGCGUGUAGGCGGCUCCGCAAGUCGGAUGUGAAAGCCCUCGGCUCAACCGGGGAAGUGCAUUCGAAACUGCAGAGCUAGAGUCCCGGAGAGGAUAGUGGAAUUCUCGGUGUAGAGGUGAAAUUCGUAGAUAUCGAGAGGAACACCGGUGGCGAAGGCGGCUAUCUGGACGGUGACUGACGCUGAGACGCGAAAGCGUGGGGAGCAAACAGG
rnacentral:rRNA from 1 species